rnacentral:rRNA from 1 species
AACGAACGCUGGCGGCAGGCUUAACACAUGCAAGUCGAACGGGCGUAGCAACACGUCGAGUGGCGGACGGGUGAGUAACACGUGGGAAUAUGCCUUUCGGUUCGGAACGAACUCGGGGAAACCCGUGGCUAAUUCCGGAUACGCCCUUACGGGGAAAGAUUUAUCGCCGAAAGAGUUAGCCCGCGUUGGAUUAGCUAGUUGGUGAGGUAAAGGCUCACCAA